GAUUGGCCCGCUACUCUUUUCAAAAUCAGGACCCCAGGGGGUGGCCAGAUGUCGCCUGUCUAGUGAGGUGCGGGCGAAGGGGAAACCACGAACGGUAAUGACGGGAAAAACUAAGAAACGUGAAAAAAAGAUGAGUCCCACUUCCUCCUUUAUAGCCACAUUUUUGGAGAAAAAUACUUUAUAAAGAGUAUUGUAAUACACCUGGCCUGCGCCUAAGACAAUAUAUUCGGGGAAAUGUGAUAGACACCUCAUUCUCAUCUUUUCAGAACUUGGCGGAGGCUGAAGGCCCUCUUACAGAGAAACUGCUUCUACGGAUCCCGAGAAUUCUGUGUGGAACCCGAUGUGAUGGGGAACUGUUAUUGCUUUGGAAUUUCCCCUGAAGUUGAAAGGAGAGACAAGAGAUGGGUGAUAACAGAACCAGCUGGUGAGAUAUCUUCACACACUUGAGACCAGGCUAAUGGCUAAGGGAGUGCUGAUGGUUUCUCAAGGAUGUUGGGCAGCUGAUCCCCUGAGUCUUUUCUGUUGACUGGCUCAAAUGCAUGACCUGUCCUUCCAUGGACCAUGCAAUAGGAACAACUCUACACAGAUUCUAUUCCUCUGCACUACACCAAGCAGAAGUGUUUGUUAACUAGAGAUAGUGGCUUCACAGACCACGAAUAGAGUAGUCAGAAAGAAACAUGAAGUUAUGUAGAUAUCUCACAUCCUGAAGAGAGUCCUCGAUACCUACAGGAGGUCUGAGUGAAGCAGCUAUGGGGCCUGAUUUGGAACUAUUUCUAAGAAAUACUUCAAUACUUCUUAUGCAAAAUUACAUAGGAAAGAACUUAUUCACCUAUAAAAUCUCAUAACUAAAAUUAUUAGUGGUGUUACUGUCUAAUCUUCUGCCAAACUUAAAUUACUCUGCCAUCUGAGGGGCUCCAUCAAGGGAAGAGGCAGAGGGAACUAGCAUUUACUGUAUACAGCAUGUGAGGCAUUAACCCUCACAGCAGCCCUAGGAAGUGGGUGUUACAGAUGAGAAAGCUGAGGUUUAAAAAAGUUUAAAAAAUCAUACAAGAUCCUAAGCUGUUAAAUGGCAGGGCUGGGUCUGCCUGCUCCAAAAUCCAUGCUCAUCUGAAUCACAAAACACUUGUGACACCUCUCCUGGGAGACACUGGUGAACUUGAAAGCAGCCUUGAUUCAAAAGCCACCACAUUUCUAUUUGAGAGAUAAUUGAGUACCUUUCUAUUUAAAAAGAUCUCCCUCACUAAUCUCUGUAAUUUUCUCUUAGGGCUUGGUUGCUUUGGCUUUAGUUCGGAUUUUCUUUUAAAAUGUAAAUUAUCCUGAGAGAUGAGACAUUGAAUAAUUUUCAGAUACUUUAUUUAUAAUAAGUUUCAGAUACUUUAUUUUCUAAAGGGAAACCUUGAUUAUACUACAGGUCACCUGAGGAACAGAAAAGGGUUUAUAGAAAAAAUGGCAAAAAACACAACAGUUGGAGGUGCCAAGUUAAUGAGCCUAUUUCAGAAUUUAACUGAGGCUGAACACAGUGAUCCUUUUUGCUUUUUAGGAAGAAUAAAUUCUAUAUUUUAGAAUGUGCACACCUACACCAUGGUAUUACCGUGAGAAAUAAAUAAGAUAUACACAUGUGCAAAUGUUUUAUAAUAUAUAUGGAUCAGUAUAAACAAGGUGUAAUGCUAUUUCAAUUUGUAAAUGAAUUCAGUUUUAAUGGCUAAAUACCCUCUUUCUAUUC